UUUGAACUGCGAAUGGCUCAUUAUAUCAGUUAUAGUUUAUUUGAUGAAGAAUACUAAUUGGAUAACCGUAGUAAUUCUAGAGCUAAUACAUGUAUAAAGUCUUGUAGACUGCAUUUAUUAGAAUGAAAACCAUAGGUUUCGGCCUAUUCGUGAGUAAUAAUAACUAAUCAUAUCGUAUGCUUAUGUAACGAUGUGUCUUUCAAGUUUCUGCCCUAUCAGCUUUCGAUGGUAGUGUAUUGGACUACCAUGGCAGUAACGGG
rnacentral:rRNA from 1 species